rnacentral:rRNA from 1 species
AAUGAACGCUGGCGGCAGGCCUAAAACACGCAAGUCGAACGCCCUAGCAAUAGGGAGUGGCGCACGGGUGAGUAACAUGUGGGAAUAUGCCUUUUGGUACGGAACAACGUUUGGAAACGAACGCUAAUACUGUAUGGUCCCUCCGGGGUAAAGAUUUAUCGCCAAAAGAUUAGCCCGCACUAGAUUAGCUAGUUGGUAAGGUAAUGGCUUACCAAGGCGACGAUCUAUAGCUGUUCUGAGAGGAAGAUCAGCCACACUGGGACUGAGACACGGCCCAGACUCCUACGGGAGGCAGCAGUUAGGAAUAUUGGACAAUGGGCGCAAGCCUGAUCCAGCCAUGCCGCGUGAGUGAUGAAGGCCUUCGGGUUGUAAAGCUCUUUAGCCGACGAAUAUAAUGACUGUAGUCGGAGAAUAAGCCCCGGCUAACUUCGUGCCAGCCGCCGCCGUAACAC